rnacentral:pre_miRNA from 9 species
UCUCGAUAACGUUAAAGUUAACUCAAAUUGUAUGGCGUUGGAACUUUAUCCUACGUUUGCCGCUAGGGGCGCUGUUCCAACUGCAUACAAAUUUGAGUCAACUUUUACGCUAUCGA